rnacentral:rRNA from 1 species
UACGUAGGGUGCGAGCGUUGUCCGGAAUGACUGGGCGUAAAGGGCGUGUAGGCGGCUAAAUAAGUCUGGAGUGAAAGUCCUGCAUUCAGUGUGGGAAUUGCUUUGGGUACUGUAUAGCUUGAGUGCGGAAGAGGUAAGUGGAAUUCCCAGUGUAGCGGUGAAAUGCGUAGAGAUUGGAGGGACACCAGUGGCGAAGGCGACUUACUGGGCCGUAACUGACGCUGAGGCGCGAAAGCGUGGGGAGCGAACA